AUGGUGGUGUCGACGGCGCCAUCUCCACAUCGGGACUGCCCUACUGAAAUCCUCGAUGGAGAUGUUGUCCCUCCACUGCCUCCCUCACAUGCUGAAGCUGUGGUUUCUCCGUCGCUUCCCUCCUUGAUUGGAGCUGUUGUUUCGUCACCUUCCGCUUCAGCAAGGGCUCCGGCAACCUUGCCGCGCCCUUUCCUAUCCUCCAAGAACAAAGGGCAUGCAUCCAAGAACAAAGGGCAUGUGUCAACUGAUGAAGUCGAUGCAGCUGCAACACUUUGUUCCCUUGUCCCAAUGACCCAAGAUCCUCACCAAGGUUACUUAGGAGAAAAGCAAAGACUCGCAAAGAAGAGCCUGAGGUCACCGUUACUGGUGCCCAUAGUGGGAUCCCAGGGGUUAAUGUCGUGUUAUCUCAGGCAUCUCCAAGAUUAG
rnacentral:rRNA from 1 species